AGGGGGAGUAACGUUCUGAAAAGAAACGCUAAUACCGCAUAACAUCAAUUUAUCGCAUGAUAGGUUGAUCAAAGGAGCAAUCCGCUGGAAGAUGGACUCGCGUCCGAUUAGCCAGUUGGCGGGGUAACGGCCCACCAAAGCGACGAUCGGUAGCCGGACUGAGAGGUUGAACGGCCACAUUGGGACUGAGACACGGUCCAAACUCCUACGGGAGGCAGCAUG
rnacentral:rRNA from 1 species